GAUGAACGCUGGCGGCGUGCCUAAUACGUGCAAGUCGAGCGAACAGACGAGGAGCUUGCUCCUCUGACGUUAGCGGCGGACGGGUGAGUAACACGUGGAUAACCUACCUAUAAGACUGGGAUAACUUCGGGAAGCCGGAGCUAAUACCGGAUAAUAUAUUGAACCGCAUGGUUCAAUAGUGAAAGACGGUUUUGCUGUCACUUAUAGAUGGAUCCGCGCCGCAUUAGCUAGUUGGUAAGGUAACGGCUUACCAAGGCGACGAUGCGUAGCCGACCUGAGAGGGUGAUCGGCCACAAUGGAACUGAGACACGGUCCAGACUCCUACGGGAGGCAGCAGUAGGGAAUCUUCCGCAAUGGGCGAAAGCCUGACGGAGCAACGCCGCGUGAGUGAUGAAGGUCUUCGGAUCGUAAAACUCUGUUAUUAGGGAAGAACAAAUGUGUAAGUAACUAUGCACGUCUUGACGGUACCUAAUCAGAAAGCCACGGCUAACUACGUG
rnacentral:rRNA from 1 species